GCUCUGCAAUAAAAGCCCCUGUGUGCAAUCCUGUUGUGCAAUCCUGUUGUGUUUCUAUGCCAUUGUGUUUUGUAGUUUUGUGCCAGCCUGUGCUGUUUCCACUUCCGGUUUUGCAUGGGAGGAGCGUCAGGCAGAUUUGCAGUUUGUAAGGGAGGAGCGUCAGGCAGACUUGCGGUUUGCAGGGGAAGGGGGAGGCCGCUCCUCAGCGUCGCCUCAGCGCCGGCUGCACUCGGCGUUAUUCCGCUCCGAUCGUCAGGGCCCUAUCGCGAUAGAGCGAAGCUGUCGGGGAUAGAGGAGCAGCACAAUGGCAGGCAGCGAUUCCAGCAAGGACACCCAGGAGGAGAAACCCCGGCUCAAUCAGACAGGAUUUGCCAUCAUGCCUGAACCUGACUGUGCCCAGGAAGGCCGGGCUGGGGACCCCUGCUCGCGAAGGCAGGACCGCAGCCGGGAGUACUACCCACCAAUGCAUGAUUGAAGGACGGGAACUGGGAAUGGACUGGGAGGGACUGGGAUGGACUGGGAUGGACUGGGAGGGACUGGCGGCCAUCGCCCAGCGCAUCGUGGCACCGGGAAAGGGAAACUGCACCUUGUACAGGAGCACUGCUCCAACUGAACCACAUCUGUCACUACAAGAUGGCUGCAACCACUUUUUAUUUUUUAGUGACAGCACUGUGCUUCUCCUUUGAUGGAAUCUAGGAUGAGGAGUCUUGAAUCUUUUUUGUUAAAACUUCUAGGCAUUUCUUGUGCUGUUGCACUAUUUCAUCCAGCAUGGUCAGGAAAUGCUGGGAAUCCUGGUGAGAAAGGCACAAGGAAACAGCAGGGGACAGUAUCAGCAGACUGC